CAACGAUUGCAAUUAAGGCCUGGAAACUCUCAAUAAGUGAAUUUAUUGAGUCAUCCAUCUGGUUUCUGGAUACCAGAUAAUUGGUAUUAUCCAAAUCAGCAGACACAUUGACAUCAUAUUCAGCCUCAUCCUCAUUGUGCAAUUGGAUGACUUAUGCAUUUAAUGGAGAAUGAACUCACAACAUAUUCAAAAUCUUCAAGCCUUGCUAAGGUCAUUUCAUCAAGUUUCUCUUCAAGAAUGCACAUCAAG
rnacentral:lncRNA from 1 species